AAAAAGACAAACUCUGGGUUUUCGUGUCCAACGUUUGACUGCCCGUCUUAUAAUAAUUUUUUUUAUAUUUAGUAUUUUCAUUGUUGUUAGAUGAUAAACAUGAUUAAUACUUUAUGCGUGACUUGUCUUUUUAAUUUUUUUUCAUAAUUUUUUCAAAUAAGACGGACGGUCAAACAUUGGACACAUAAACCCAGGGUUUGUCUUUUU
rfam:Oryza glumipatula chromosome 5, whole genome shotgun sequence.